rnacentral:rRNA from 1 species
ACUUAAAUUGAAGAGUUUGAUCAUGGCUCAGAUUGAACGCUGGCGGCAGGCCUAACACAUGCAAGUCGAACGGUAGCACAGAGAGCUUGCUCUCGGGUGACGAGUGGCGGACGGGUGAGUAAUGUCUGGGAAACUGCCUGAUGGAGGGGGAUAACUACUGGAAACGGUGGCUAAUACCGCAUAACGUCGCAAGACCAAAGAGGGGGACCUUCGGGCCUCUUGCCAUCAGAUGUGCCCAGAUGGGAUUAGCUGGUUGGUGAGGUAACGGCUCACCAAGGCGACGAUCCCUAGCUGGUCUGAGAGGAUGACCAGCCACACUGGAACUGAGACACGGUCCAGACUCCUACGGGAGGCAGCAGUGGGGAAUA